CCUUAACCCAGUAAAAAACCCCAUAAAAAUCUGAAGUAAAUCGGUGUAUAAUUCAUUUUAAUUUAAUACGUCCUACACUACAGUAUAUUCCUAUGCAUACCAGGGCUGACAUGAAAAUAGAGGCAUUCGGGCGAGUAAUAUCUUUAGAAAGAUACAAUUUGAGUUGCGCUUGCGGAAUGCAGCAAUAAGACUUUGAUCUGGAGAUCAAUUUGGUGUUUUGUUACGCCUAUUUUUUCAAAAAUAAUGAAUAAUGAAAAAUUUUCGUGUGGCAGAUAAAUCCAAUACGGGCGGGGACGAGAAACAUGAUAUCAAUUUUCAUUGGCC